GACCUUCAGGCAAGUGCAAAAGAAAGUAUACCGCCAAAAAUUUUUGGUAAGGGUGGAACGGUGAGGUAAGAGCUCACCAGAUAAUUAGUGAUAAUUAUGCUGUGUAAACCCCAUCCGGUGCAAGAACAAAAGGGACAUUAGGAUUUCUACUCGAAACGGUCCAGUAUGGUAGUUCGCUUGAGCUAAUUGGUGACAAUUAGCCUAGAUAGAUGAUUAUUUUUAACAGAACACGGCUUAUAGAUUUACUCUAUUU
rnacentral:RNase_P_RNA from 1 species